CCCAAGACAGACAAUGACUUAUAGUUUAUUUUUUAAGUUAGGGAAAUAAUUUUCUGAAAACAAAGGAAUUGUGAGGUGGAGUGCAAAUGUAUAUUGUUUCAAAAUACACAUGGAUACAUUAGACAAACAUUAUAGAUAUGCAUAACAAUGUGAAAGUUUAAAGAUGUGUCAGCAAAAGGAUUUCAUGUGAGUUAUACAUAACAAAAGGAAAGCAUUUUUUCCCUCAGUUUAAUUUCUCAGAGGUGAUGGUCCCAUGCAAAAGACAAAUGGUGGUACAUCUAGAAGCCAGUUCCAAUCAUUUAAGAGAGAAGUCAUGCCAAAUUAGAUUAAUAGAAUAUUAUGAUAGAUAUCUUGAAAAAACUGUUGGUUAAACCUCUUUUAGUCCGAACAUAUUAACAGAACUUAAAAUAACCUUAGGAAAGUGUAAUAUUCAGAUGACCUGAGAUGUAAUGAGCAUGCCUGAUGUUUUCUAUCAACUGGUCCUAGAGGUUACCAGCUCAGCAUCUUACCAAGGCCACAUGAAUCAGUCCAAGGAGAGUCUCCCCUUGGCUGGAGAUUUAUACAGGAUUAAAAUAAUUGAGAUAAGGUCUGUAUAGGUCUCAAUGGUUUAUAAAGUCAAUGAAGAGUCCUAAUUUAAGCAUUCAAAAUAGGUGCCUUCAGAGGAUAGGACAAAUACAAUUUCCUCCUUCCUUCCUUCUUUCCUUUUUCCUCCUAUUACCAUAAUGAACAGGAACACUUUAAUGUUAGUCCAUAAAUAACUCUUUUACUUCAAUAGUAGUGAUGUAAUAAAAACAUGUAAAAAAAUCAGCAAUUAUUCAGAUUGUGGGUGCCUGUAGACAGGCUAACUGUGAAAGCUGGCACUAUAGCCAGUGAUCACUGAGUCCACAUGAGCAGUGGAAUGAGAAGAACUGCUGAGAUGGCCUCCCUUUUGAGGGGUCUGUACAUAGGGGCCUCAUUUCAGAGGCCCUGGCAGAACUACUUCUCCAGGAAGGCAGUGUGUCACAAUGUCCUGUGUCACCUCUCAGUCCCACGUGGGUGUCUGAGGUACCUUAAUGCAUCUCUGGUGGUACUAGAUUCCCAUGUCUGGACAAGAGAAUUGUACUUCAGGUGUCAGUUGUCACUGGAGCUGAAUCACAUGUGGACAUUUAUGUACAGUUGCCCAAUUUUUAGAAUCUUAAUCUGGAACUGAAUGCCAACCAGAAAGCUUCAAAAAUCCUUACAAAUCUCCAUAGAUGUCAGCUAACAGCGUACUGGGCUUGGACAGACUCAGUCUGGACCUCCUGCUGCUUACUGUCUGCAACGUGCAGCUUCCCAGGAGAGCCCAGGUGUGUUUUCCUCCUGUAAAGAAUAAGACAAGUAGAAUCCUUUUGGAGUAUGCUUAGCCUGACUUAGUGGCAUUCACUCCAGGUAGUAAUUCCUACAAAUAUGGGCAGCCUUCAGCUCUAAGUGUAAGAUUUGUGAAUCCUCUAACAAUCCUAAUAACAAACAUAGAAAGUGUUUAGUUGACAUGGAAGAUGUUUGAUGUUUCCAUGAGUCUUUUCAGAUCUAUUCAAAGAACAGAUCUUACAGUGGUGCAAGCCAGAGUACAAGUAAAAGAAUACUAACAAAACCAGCUGGAAAAAUCUGCAGUGUGCCAAGUACAUCUUAAUAAAUUUUCAUUAAUGUUUAUACAUACAUACAUAAGUAUAAUGUAAAUAAUAUAGAAGACAUGCCAUUUUUUCUUGUUGGGAUUUUUGGUGGGUUUUUUUGGUUUGU